rnacentral:rRNA from 1 species
CAUGUCUAAGUAUAAGCAAUUAUACCGCGAAACUGCGAAUGGCUCAUUAAAUCAGUUAUCGUUUAUUUGAUAGUACCUUACUACAUGGAUAACCGUGGUAAUUCUAGAGCUAAUACAUGCUAAAAAUCCCGACUUCGGAAGGGAUGUAUUUAUUAGAUUAAAAACCAAUGCCCUUCGGGGCUCUCUGGUGAUUCAUAAUAACUUCUCGAAUCGCACGGCCUUGCGCCGGCGAUGGUUCAUUCAAAUUUCUGCCCUAUCAACUUUCGACGGCUGGGUCUUGGCCAGCCGUGGUGACAACGGGUAACGGAGGGUUAGGGCUCGACCCCGGAGAAGGAGCCUGAGAAACGGCUACUACAUCCAAGGAAGGCAGCAGGCGCGCAAAUUACCCAAUCCCGACACGGGGAGGUAGUGACAAUAAAUACUGAUACAGGGCUCUUUCGGGUCUUGUAAUUGGAAUGAGUACAAUUUAAAUCCCUUAACGAGGAACAAU